rnacentral:rRNA from 1 species
AUUGAACGCUGGCGGCAGGCCUAACACAUGCAAGUCGAGCGGAUGAAGGGAGCUUGCUCCUGGAUUCAGCGGCGGACGGGUGAGUAAUGCCUAGGAAUCUGCCUGGUAGUGGGGGAUAACGUCCGGAAACGGGCGCUAAUACCGCAUACGUCCUGAGGGAGAAAGUGGGGGAUCUUCGGACCUCACGCUAUCAGAUGAGCCUAGGUCGGAUUAGCUAGUUGGUGGGGUAAAGGCCUACCAAGGCGACGAUCCGUAACUGGUCUGAGAGGAUGAUCAGUCACACUGGAACUGAGACACGGUCCAGACCCCUACGGGAGGCAGCAGUGGGGAAUAUUGGACAAUGGGCGAAAACCUGAUCCAGCCAUGCCGCGUGUGUGAAGAAGGUCUUCGGAUUGUAAAGCACUUUAAGUUGGGAGGAAGGGCAGUAAGUUAAUACCUUGCUGUUUUGACGUUACCAACAGAAUAAGCACCGGCUAACUUCGUG